rnacentral:tRNA from 1 species
CCGUCGAUAGCUCAGUUGGUAGAGCGGUGGACUGUACAUCCAUAGGUCGCUGGUUCGAAUUCGGCUCGACGGA